CCUUUCUGAAAGAAGAGAAACAUUUUUAAAGACUUGUGGGCAAGCUGUCCUAGAAAAAUGAAACAUUGUCAGUAAUAUAGAAAAAUAUGUAAGUUAAAGACCCAUGAAGUUAUGUCAAUUAUUUUUUAAUAUUUUACAUUUUAUAAUGAUUUAAAACAGAGUGUAAAUAUUUUGCUCAGUUCUUUUCAGUUGGUGUAAAGCAUCAUUUCCGAGGCAUUUCAUCACCAGGUUGGAAUAAAGAGUACGAUGGACAAGACAGAACAAACUUAGAGUUUCUCAACAGACAGAAGAUGAUGGUCAUCAGCUGAUUUGACGCUGGGCAAUAAAGACUUCGACUAAGCAAAACCAUAUGGCUGGAAGGAAACGCGCUGAAAGGAUGCCAUGGGUAUGAAUGAGCUCGUCUCUCAGAACUCCUUCUAAGAGAACCUGACAGUUCCGGCUGAGGAGGAGACCCACAGGGCACAACACUUGCUGUGAAACAGGACUUGAGGAAAGAAGCCAGGUGUGGUGGCACACACAUGUCAUCCUAGUGCUGGGAUGGGAGACAUGAGCACAUUCCUCAGAGAGACACAGGCCACUGAGACCCUGUCUCAAAAACCACGGUAUAUGGAGAGCGAGGAAUAACGAACAUCUAAGGUUGUCCUUUGUCCUCUUGUCCAGAUGUAUGGUACUACCUAGACCCCAGAGAUACACAAACGUGCACCAAAACUCUUGCUAAUAAACAUGCUCACUUAUAAAUAACAUUAUUUAGUCACUGAAAUGAUAUUAUUAGACAAAAGAAAACAUAUCUGUUGCUGAAGAGAUAGCUGAGCAGUUAAUGACACUUGUUCCUGAAGAAGACCCACGGUCAAUUCCCAGCACCCACUUGUUAACUCACAACCGCUGGUGACUCUGGAUCCAGGGAUCUAACACUCUUCUGGCCUCUAAGGUUGCAGUGAAUGUGGUGCACACACACACACACACAUGUUGCCAAAACUCUCAUACACAUAAACUAAUAACCCUCCCUCUUUGGGGAAAAAAAAAAAAGAAACACACAUCUAACAUCGUCUUCUAAAACAACUGAUUUCAGUUAGAUUUUAAACUACUUUCUUAAUUUUUAUGAUAAGAAUCUCCAAAAGGAAAGGAAAAAAGUCACCAUUAAAAGUAAAGUCUCAAUGGCUACACUGUUGCCCAAAGGACCCCACAAAAUACAGCAUGUAUCUUUUUAUGCGGUUCUAUCUUUGUUUUAUGAAAGAAAAUACAACAGAGCUAGCCGGAUGUUAAAGGCAUUAGCCUGCUUAUAGCUAAGACUAACGAGCUGAGUUUGGGCCCCAGAACCAUCACAGUAGUGGCUGAAAGCCAAAUCUUGCAAGUUGUCCACUAACCUACACACAUGCAAUGGCAUGCAUGCACACACACACACACACACACACACACACACAUGCAUGCACACAUAUGCACAAUUGGUUAAUUUAAUCCUUCAAAUCUUUCCCUCACUUAAAAGAAAAACCAAGAAACAACUUCAUUGUAAUAAUGAUCCUUUGCAGCACUUUCUCCUUUCUAUUGAACAAGAAAAUCCUGGGUCAAAACCAUUAUGACUCAUCCCCAACGAUUCAGGUGCAUAUUUCCUUUACCAAAUGAUGAAAAACAUUCAUGUUAUCCUAUUGAUUUAUUUUUCAAAUACAUUUUACUUUAUUACCAAUCAAGUCUCAUCUUUCAUUUAGGUUAUUUUUUUAUAUUUUUAAAAAAACUUUCUGGGAUAGGGUCUUUUCUAGCUGGUUUCCAACUCACUGUAAACUGAGACUGGCCGUUGGUCCCAAGUCCCCCGGCUCCCAGCUCCAGGUGUGGAAUCCAGGUGUGCACACACCUUUAUCAGGUCGUGUGCCUUCUACUUCUUCCUCACACAUGACUACAUAGAAAUUAUCCACUUAGGGGUUAUACAUUAUUUACUAUUAUAAGGUGUGGUGCUUAUUUCUCCAAAAUGAAUUUUAGAAAGCAGAAAGAAAACAGAACAGUAUGAUAAUAACUUAAGGUUCAAGAAUAAUUGUCAAGCCAGAAAAAAAAAAAACUAAUAUAUUAACAACAAGGAAACAGUUGUGAUAAACCUGCAUAGCAGUUAUAGGAGGUCAAAUGUCUUACUUGAAAUUAUGAGGAAUAAGUUCAUAUUCAGCUUUUAGAGGUCAUAAGACGUUUUCAUCUACUGUACAUGCUCUGCAUUUCCCUACUGUAAAAGUGUGCAAAACAGGACGUGCCAAUGAGAAAGACAAGAUUUCUGGUUGUGCUCUGGACCUCUAGGGUGCAGGGCCAUCCGAUAGAUGGCUAAUUCCAUUAGCAGCCAACAAAAAUUAAGAAUCAGGAAUUUAAAAUCCUGAUUCACUGUUUCUUCAAUGCCAAAUGCCACCCCUAGAACUGCUUAGUAACAGAACAGAUCAGAUCAAGUUAUCCAGGGACUCCCUCCUCCUAGUUUCAAAAAAGAGCACUUUGUAAAGGAAAGGGGUUGCAACGGUAAGGGCUGGGUGGCUGGAUGUCAAGGAAGGAAGGGGCUAGAAGGCAGGCAGUAAGGAGAGGGUGGGCAGUAGUGAGCAGGCUGGGUUAAGUGGAGGAUGAGUAGAAGAGCAAGGUAGAGAAGGGGGCACGGGGAGGAUGACCAACACUAAACACGUCUCAAAGUACCACAGGGAGAUGAUUCCCAAAUAUGCAUAAAUGUAAACAGUUUAAGUGGAGUCGCCUUAUAAAGGGGUGCAAUGUCCUUCCUAAACAGCAGAGGCAUAAUAGUACCAAAUUAAAAAAAAUAAUAAUAAUAAAGAACUCCUAUUUUCUUUUCCAUUUCAAAUCUUCAUGAAUCACCCAUUUUUUUUUUUUUUUUUUUUGCUAAGAACAAUCUAUGUAUUUCUAAGACAAUGUAAAAUACAAAUAAAAUCAGCACUUGAUUGGCAUAAUUUUUAAAAAUAAUUUCUUAUUCACUGAAAUUGAUAACUAUGGAAACAGGUUGUCCUUUUGGUUAAGUAUUUGCUCCCUCAGAUUAGAACAUGGGAGUUGGAAAUUUUAAUUAAAAUAAAUAGCUGGAAUUAAGUAGCGCACUCUCUAAAUCAGAUAUGGACCAAGCCUCAUAUCCUUCUAUGAUAGAAUAUAAAUAUCCAUCAUAUUCACUGUAACACUGCUAUUUUUAGUGAAUACACAAUAAAAAUAAAAUGAAUUAGCUAUUCUUAUGUGCCUUUAUGUCUCUUUCUUUCUGUGGUUUCUGGACGAGCAGUUAUUACAGAAUUUAAGUGUAUAAAAGGAUCACAGCUCUCCCCCAUUACUGUCACAAGAUGUCAUCUUCAAUUCUACAAAAGCUACCAGCCCCACGGGUCAUAAAGAUAAUGAGACAGCAGUUAUGUAAAUACUGCGUAGACCCCUCAAGCAAUGUGUCCAUAAGCUGACAAUAUUUUGCUUGUCUGGGUUGAAAAGUAAAAGGCGUCAUUUUAACACAAAAGUCCCAUUGAAGCUGGAUUUCUGCCCAUGAGCGAGCGGGAUGCGAGCUGAAUGGACCCACACAGAGCUCCCUUGCUGAGUCAGACAAACUAACUUUCCCAAGCUCAGUGCCUCUCCUGAGGUGCUGCACAUCUACUAGGUGAAGGCCUAUGGCUGCCAAGUUCAUCUGCUCUUCUUUGAGGAAAUUCUCUUCACCCAUUUACUUCUAUGCUUUAUGGCAGACACUAGGUAGUGUUUAAGAAUAAAAGUAAGGUGCAAAACUUGCAGAUAUGCACUUAUUUAUUUUUAUCUUCUCAAUUUUAGUAACUACUCAAAUGACUAAAACCCUGUCUAUCAAGGCAAACCAACAAAGAGGUCAAAAUGAACCCAGCAAGACAGCAAGGGCAGAUAUCCUGUUCACGUGGCUCUCACAACAUACAGAGCAGUCCCAGUGUGCGCUCAGCAAUCCUCCUUGGAAGAAUCACUAAGACACUGGAGGACUCUGCAUGCCAGGACUACAGAGCAGAGCAUCAGCUGACAGCACGUCAACUCAGAACUCAUUGCUUGCCUACAUACUACAACACUGGACACUCACAUUUGGAAUGGAUUCUAGUUUUGGAAUGGUAAAGUUAAAACUUUUCUAAUCCUACUGUUGUCUGCAGACCAAGAAUUGUACAGCUUCCCACUUCCCACUUCCGGAAGCAGGCAGCAUGCAUGCAUACAGGCAUUCCUGCAUUUUCAGCUGCACUACACUGCACUAUUUCAACCAGAGUCUCUGUCCCAAACUCACUCAGACCGCCAGAACCCAUCACUUUCCAGUAGAAGCUAUCAUUAGGUGGGAAACGGGGAAAGGUUAUAAAUUACUUGGUUUUCUGUUAUUUUCAACAAUACUAAGAGAUUAUUAGAGCUAAUAACUAAUAAUUUAUGACACAACCUUCCUGCUUUGAAAAUUAAUAUUACAAAAAUAAGCCCAUAGCAUAGCUCAUAUAAGAUGAAAAUCCUACAUAAAACUGUGUGUUUAGGAGAAAACAAUUGUUUAAAAGACAGUUCUCUUCUCCAGCAGACCAAGAUCCCCAAAAGAAAGAAAGCCAAGGGGAAAAAGGGGGCCCUGGCCCCCCACUUGUCAUCAAGAAACAGGAGGCCAAAAGGUUCUUUGUUUGAGAAAAGGCCCAAAAACUUUGGCAUUGGGCAGGACAUCCAGCCAAAAGAUAUCUAACACACUUUGUCAAAUGGCCCCGCUACAUCAGGCUGCAGCGGCAAAGCCCAUCAUCUAUAAGUGGCUCAAAGUCCCUCCUGCCAGUAACCAGUACACUCAGGCCCUGGACAGGCAAACAGCUACUCAGCUGCUUAAGCUUGCCCACAAGUACAGGCCAGAGACAAA